rnacentral:rRNA from 1 species
CGUUCCCGGGUCUUGUACACACCGCCCGUCAAGUCAUGAAAGUCGGUAACACCUGAAGCCGGUGGCCUAACCCUUGUGGAGGGAGCCGUCGAAGGUGGGAUCGGUAAUUAGGACUAAGUCGUAACAAGGUACCC